AUUGAACGCUGGCGGCAGGCCUAACACAUGCAAGUCGAGCGAGCGGCGGACGGGUGAGUAAUGUCUGGGAAACUGCCUGAUGGAGGAGGAUAACUACUGGAAACGGUAGCUAAUACCGCAUCCCAUCAGAUGUGCCCAGAUGUGAUUAGCUAGUAGGUGGGGUAACGGCUCACUUAGGCGACGAUCCCUAGCUGGUCUGAGAGGAUGACAAGCCACACUGGAACUGUGAAACGGUCCAGACUCCUACGGGAGGCAGCAUUGGGGAAUAUUGGACAAUGGGCGCAAGCCUGAUGCAGCCAUGCCGCGUGUGUGAAGAAGGCCUUUGGGUUGUAAAGCACUUUCAUCGGGGAGGCGUUACCCGCAGAAGAAGCACCGGCUAACUCCGUGCCAGCCGCCGCGGUAAUUC
rnacentral:rRNA from 1 species